rnacentral:rRNA from 1 species
AUGCUCUUACAACCUCUAGGGUUGCGCCCGAGCUUUUGCGUGCAGGAUAAACAACAGGAAAACACGGGAUCAAUCGGACAUGUCGCUCGCCGCGUCCCCUGGGUCACCUUCGGACGCGUCGCUGGCGUCGUCGUCACCGUCGCUGGCAUCACCACCACCUUCGACAGCGCCGCCAUCACCAUCGUCAACCACGUCGCCUUCGUCCGCCGCGACGACCACUGUGUCGUCCUUGGAGGCAAAGGCCCUGACCAGCGCGUCCACAUUGUCUUCCACCCACCGCGCCAGGUCACCUCGGAUGGCCUCCAGCAAACAAGCAGGCAGAUAACGGGCAAACUAUUAUUAAAUAUUCAAGUAGAAACCAUGGCUACUGCAUGGCUAUCAUGCAAGUGGCUGUUGUGGCUUGCCUGGGGGUGA